rnacentral:lncRNA from 1 species
UGAAGUUUUCCAUUAGUUUGUAUGCCUUCUUAUGAAAAUUUGUAUUCUUAUAGUAAAUACUGUUAGAUAAAUGUGAUAUUUAAUGAUAACGAUGGUGAUGGCAUUAAGCGUAUAUGUACUUCUGUCCUUUGUUUUAUACAAGGGUGUUUGUAUCAGUGGACAUAGAUAGGGAUAAAAUUGGCUUUAUAUACAUUUGAGAAAUUACUACCAAAAUGUUAAGAAUGUGGAAACUUCAUGCAAACAAAAUACAAGAGUUUUAUUAUUUCUGGGAAUAGGUCGUUGAUAGUAUGAAAGAUAAGUGUACAAAACGCCUUUUAUCAUUUCUUUCAUUUGCAAUAUGUCUUUGUGGGCCUUAUAAGCAAUGAAUUGAACAAAACAUAUUUUGCUAAACAAAGCAGUUGCAAAACAAACAAACAAAUGAAAUACUUCAUAAUAAGAAAUGUGAUUAUAUACUUCAGUGAAUUUGAUAUGUAAUUAUUUUGAUAUUUUUGUUAUCCGACCCAAUGGAUAUUGUUAUUACUUUGAAGCAUUUGUCGUUUGCGUUAGGGAACGACCAUUUAACUUCAAGGGAGUAAUUGUUUGUUCCUAAAAAUAUAUUCUGAUCCCCAAUUUGAUGAAACAAAUGUUGUCGCCAAGCUGAAUCUGAUGACAAAAAACAACAAUCUUAAUCCAUUUUCCCUUACUUUGUAGUGUUACAUUUUGUAAAAGAAUUAAUUUUGUUUAAUGGCAUCGAAAAACUUUGAAAAAAAAUGUUCGUGAAAUUUUUGAUUUGACUAAGAAAAAUACCUUAGACAGGCCCAUAUCCAGAAUGGGGUUCAAUACGAUCAUACUCAACUUUUAACAGUAACAAUUCAAACAGAACGUCAACUUUACAAACAGUGCUUAUUUAUUUUCAAAGGGGUCCCCAGGCUACGGGUGUGAUCGAUUCCCCUGAAAGUUUAAUUGUUGAUCCCUUUUAUGUGAAUUUCGUUUCAGGAAUUUUGCAGGAUUUUUUUUCUAUCUUGAUUUGUAAUUUUGUUUUGUAUCUGCAGAAUACAUAUUUUACACCUAUUGACUGUUUAUGAGGAUUACAGCAAGUUUGUUAGCCUGAGAUACCGACUCUUACUCGAGGCGGAGCCGACGGCAAUACCUAAUAUCAAAUGACAACAAACUUGCUUUUACUCUCAUAACCGAUCUUUGAGUGAUUUAUUAUACCGAGCAAAACAACUUGCUAAAAAUGCGAAAAUUGUGACUAGUUCUAAAGGGUAUGAUUCAUUGAUAUGCAUAAAGUUGUAGAUUUUGUAAGAGAAGCGUUAGGCAUAUAUUCAAGUCUCUCAUAUUUUUGUAUUAUUUUUUAAUAAGCUAUGAUACUCACAUUUAUGGUUAUUCUAUUUGGAAUCAUAAUAUAUAUGCAUGUUUACAUUCUUUUUUUUAUUUAUUUUUCUGUGAUUAUUUUGAUAUUUUUGUUAUCCGACC